rnacentral:rRNA from 1 species
UACGGAGGGGGCUAGCGUUGUUCGGAAUUACUGGGCGUAAAGCGCGCGUAGGCGGACCUGCAAGUCGGGGGUGAAAGCCCGAGGCUCAACCUCGGAACUGCCGUCCAAACUGCUUCGCUUGAGACCGGGAGAGGUGAGUGGAAUUCCCAGUGUAGCGGUGAAAUGCGUAGAUAUUGGGAGGAACACCAGUGGCGAAGGCGGCUCACUGGACCGGUACUGACGCUGAUGCGCGAAAGCGUGGGGAGCAAACGGG